rnacentral:rRNA from 1 species
UACAGAGGUCUCAAGCGUUGUUCGGAAUUACUGGGCGUAAAGGGCGCGUAGGCGGCCUGUUAAGUCGAACGUGAAAUCCCCGGGCUCAACCCGGGAACUGCGUCCGAUACUGGCAGGCUUGAAUCCGGGAGAGGGAUGCGGAAUUCCAGGUGUAGCGGUGAAAUGCGUAGAUAUCUGGAGGAACACCGGUGGCGAAGACGGCAUCCUGGACCGGCAUUGACGCUGAGGCGCGAAAGCCAGGGGAGCAAACGGG